rnacentral:lncRNA from 1 species
ACGCGUUCUCCGGCAAGAGUGGUUUCAGCUGUUUUUUUGGACGUGCUAGUAGUUAACUCAUGGGAUAGAAAUACUACCGGGAGUGGUGAGAAACAAGACCUAGAAAGCUCAGAGAAAAGCAGAUGGAGAGUGGAGCUCUUGUCUGUCUUCUCGGCUCCUAACGGCAGCCCCAGAUUCGCAAUGAAGAGCCCCACGCCACAUGAAAUGUGAGCAAGUCCACCCACCUCAUCUACCCUGGCGGCCAGUUCCUCGUUGGACCAGAUCCCUUCUAUCAUAAGCUCCUCCUCAGCACAUGGUUAUUACUGGAAUGCUGGUGGUUUGGGCAACUCUUUUUCUGGUGAGAUGGUGCAGUGGGAAGGUACAUCCCACUUCCAGCGGGCUGUCCCUCGGUGCUGGCUUGGCUUCUUGGGAAAAGAGUGAAGAAUCAGAGCCUACACGCUGCUGCUGAGCUCCACAGCCUCCAUCUUGCCUCCUCCUGUUUAGACGAUGCGGGUCCUAGUUCUGGGAAGCCCUUCCACCGGCAGAUCGCAGAGCCUCUCUGAACUUCAGGCUCCUCAUCUAUAAAAUGGACCUCCCAAGGUGGUGGUUUAGUGCUGUCAGGGACAUGUUGGCAGGAGGACCGUGUGAGCUGUUGUAUCCACAGUAGCCUGGAAAGGCCCUUCCCGCUGAGGCGUAUGGCCCAAUGAAGUUGGAGGGGUGAAUUCGAAGCAAGACCUCAAGCAGGGGGUGAAGCGGACAUGAUGUAGAGAAGCUGCUGCUGAUGGCAAUGGGACCAGAAAAGGGGGGCCUAAGGAAGAGAGAACAUGAGAAGCAAAAAGGGCAGCCCCUUAACCUUCAACCUCAGAGGCUCGUGUGGGAGAAACCCAGUCAGGUCUGAGGGGAGAUCUCACAGCAAGGGGGUGGGUGGGACUUGACUCAGAUUGCAGUGGGGAGAAAUUUUAAUGACACCCCCUCCCUAGCAAACCAGCGAUGCAAGAUGGUGCCAGCACAAUAUGGUGCCAAUCAGGAGGUGGUUUGGAAUGGCUGAGGAAGGGAGUCUGGGAAGUGGCUUCAUGCAACGCUGCUCGUUCUAGUGAGAAUGCAGCCAGGUAGUCCUAGGUCCCAGGGGCCGCAGAGCCAAGAUCUGCCUCACCAGCUAUGUGCAGGGACCACGCACUUUGGCUUCACCUCUUCCUGCCCCUACCCCACCAGCAAGCCCCAGGGACCAGAACCAUCUCUGUCCUGCGUGUGUGUGUGUGUUGUGUGUGUGUGUGUGUGUGUGUGUGUGUGUGUGUGUGUAAGAAUGCAGGGGACUCCACUCAGACCUUCAACCCUCUUGUCCCACCACCGUGAGGCCCAUGAACAUCUCUCUGCACCAGGAAAUUAUCUUGGCUGGGAGAAGGCGGAAGGGUGAGAAAACCUUGGAAUACUGAGCAAUUUUACUCAAAAGAGACUGAGUUAAUCAUACAGAAAUGGAGCUAUGUCUAAGGGGCAAUUUAAUGCUUUCUUUUUGUUUGUUUUCUUUUUGCCCGUCAGUAGUAGGAAUUAUCAGAUCACGAUGAGAAGAGUAUAAGAAAAAGUAAGAACAAUACUGAUUUGACCCAUCUGGGUAGGUGUGUGUGUGUGAUCUUUAGCCCUCCCACAAUUAUGUCUGUACACGUUUGCUGGGGCAACUGUAUAUUUUCAAUUCCAAUCGUCAGACCUUUCCUUGAAGCUCACGUGUGUUUUGAUCUGGCCAGGAAUUGAGAAUCAUAAAAUCAUUAAAUCUGUAUUAAUUACCUAUUGCUGCAUAGUAAGUUAAUCCAAAAUUUAGCUGAAAUAAAUAUGUAUUAUC